rfam:Dipodomys ordii contig_52758, whole genome shotgun sequence.
GGGAAAGUGGCUCAACGGUAGAGCACUUGCCUUGCAUGCAUGAGGCCCUCGGUUCCAUUCCUC